UACGUAGGGGGCGAGCGUUGUCCGGAGUUACUGGGCGUAAAGCGCACGCAGGCGGUCUGGUAAGUUUGGAGUGACAGUGCCCGGCUCAACUGGGCAAGGCCUCUGAAGACUGCUGGACUUGAGGACCAGAGAGGGACAUAGAAUUCCGGGUGGAGUGGUGAAAUGCGUAGAUAUUAGGAAGAACACCAGUGGCGAAGGCGGCUCACUGGCCCGGUACUGACGCUGAGGCGCGAAAGCGUGAGGAGCAAACAGG
rnacentral:rRNA from 1 species